CCUACGGGUGGCAGCAGUGAGGAAUAUUGGUCAAUGGACGAGAGUCUGAACCAGCCAAGUAGCGUGAAGGAUGACUGCCCUAUGGGUUGUAAACUUCUUUUAUAUGGGAAUAAAUUGCUCCACGUGUGGGAUUUUGUAUGUACCAUAUGAAUAAGGAUCGGCUACUCCGUUGCAGGAGGCGCGGUUAAACCGAGGAUUCCGGCGUUAACCGGGUUUAAUGGGGUUAAAGGGGGCGUAGGUGGAGUGCUAAGUCAGGUGUGAAAGUUUGGGGCUCAAACGUAAGAUUGCAGUUGAAACUGGCAGUCUUGAGUACAGGAGAGGUGGGCGGAAUUCGUGGUGUAGCGGUGAAAUGCUUAGAUAUCACGAAGAACUCCGAUUGCGAAGGCAGCUCACUGGACUGCAACUGACGCUGAGGCUCGAAAGUGUGGGUAUCAAACAGGAUUAGAUACCCCAGUAGUC
rnacentral:rRNA from 1 species